CCCAAGAGAUCGGGAUAACACCUGGAAACAGAUGCUAAUACCGGAUAACAACAGAUGAUGCCUAUCAACUGUUUAAAAGGAUGGUUCUGCUAUCACUCUUGGAUGGACCUGCGGUGCAUUAGCUAGUUGGUAGGGUAACGGCCUACCAAGGCGAUGAUGCAUAGCCGAGUUGAGAGACUGAUCGGCCACAUUGGGACUGAGACACGGCCCAAACUCCUACGGGAGGCAGCAGAU
rnacentral:rRNA from 1 species